UACGAAGGGGGCUAGCGUUGCUCGGAAUCACUGGGCGUAAAGCGCACGUAGGCGGCUUCUUAAGUCAGGGGUGAAAUCCUAGAGCUCAACUCCAGAACUGCCUUUGAUACUGAGGAGCUUGAGUCCGGGAGAGGUGAGUGGAACUGCGAGUGUAGAGGUGAAAUUCGUAGAUAUUCGCAAGAACACCAGUGGCGAAGGCGGCUCACUGGCCCGGUACUGACGCUGAGGUGCGAAAGCGUGGGGAGCAAACAGG
rnacentral:rRNA from 1 species